rnacentral:rRNA from 1 species
UACGUAGGUGGCAAGCGUUGUCCGGAUUUAUUGGGUUUAAAGGGCUCGUAGGUGGCCAACUAAGUCAGACGUGAAAUCCCCAGGCUUAACCUGGGAACUGCGUCUGAUACUGGAUGGCUUGAAUUCGGGAGAGGGAUGCAGAAUUCCAGGUGUAGCGGCGAAAUGCGUAGAUAUCUGGAGGAAUACCGGUGGCGAAGGCGGCAUCCUGGACCGAGAUUGACACUGAUGAGCGAAAGCCAGGGGAGCAAACGGG